rnacentral:rRNA from 1 species
UUCAGUCGGCCGUCGUUGCGAUCUUCUCUCGAGUAUUCCGCAAGGUUGCUCGUGGGAUGUAGUCGUUGCGGUGGUCGGUGCAUUUGCGUGCGGAGUGCGCCGAGUGGGUUGAUGUCGUCGUCGGAGGCGCGUGUAGAGGACUCGCUUGCGAGAACCCUGUGCGUGCGGAUGUCGAGUGAUGUUGGCUCGUGUGUGAGUGCGGGUGAAUUCGCGGCGGAUUGUUUCGGUGCGAAUGACUUGUCGGCGUCACAUGUGUCGUCGGCUCGUCGGUCGUAUGGCGACGGUCCGCUGCCCCGGCACUCGACUCGGUGUAUAGUCGGUCACCCAUUUGACCCGUCUUGAAACACGGACCAAGGAGUUUAAGGUGUACGCAAGUCAUUGAGUGUGCAGAAGCUCAAAGGCGGAAUGAAAGUGAGACACUUGGUGUCGACGAUGUGAGCGGCGGGCGUCUCGACGUCCACCGCGCAACAUCGCCCCAUGACUAGAACUUGUUCUGUUGUGGAGGUUGAGCGUACGCUUUGAGACCCGAAAGAUGGUGAACUAUGCCUGAACAGGAUGAAGCCAGAGGAAACUCUGGUGGAAGUCCGAAGCGGUUCUGACGUGCAAAUCGAUCGUCUGAUUUGGGUAUAGGGGCGCAAGACUAAUCGAACCAUCUAGUAGCUGG